UGCGUAGGUGGCGUCGUAAGUCGGGUGUGAAAACUUCAGGCUCAACCUGGAGCGGCCAUCCGAUACUGCUAUGGCUAGAGUCCGGUAGGGGACCACGGAAUUCCUGGUGUAGCGGUGAAAUGCGCAGAUAUCAGGAGGAACACCGAUGGCGAAGGCAGUGGUCUGGGCCGGAACUGACGCUGAAUAGCGAAAGCGUGGGUAGCGAACA
rnacentral:rRNA from 1 species